rnacentral:rRNA from 1 species
GAUUAGAUUUAUAUUUUUAUAAUCUACCUCACCUUCGAUCUCGGAAGCUAAGCAGGGUCGGGCCUGGUUAGUACUUGGAGGGGAGACCACCUAGGAAGACCAGGUGCUGUAGGCG